GCUGGGCGUGGUGGCGCGUGCCUGUAGUCCCAGCCACUCGGGAGGCUGAGGCAGAAGAAUCACUUGAACCCAGGAGGCAGAGGCUGCAGUAAGCCAAGAUUGCGCCACUGCACUCCAGCCUGGGCAACAGAGUGAGACUCUGUCUCAA
ensembl:misc_RNA Metazoa_SRP Metazoan signal recognition particle RNA